UUCCAUGUCUCUGCCUUUUGGUUAAGAUCAAGUGUAGUAUAUGUUCUUAGGGCUCUUUCACACCUGCGUUAUUGUCUUCCGGCAUAGAGUUGCGUCAUCGGGGCUCUAUGCCAGAAGAAUCCUGAUCAGUUUUAUCCUAAUGCAUUCUGAAUGGAGUGAAAUCCGUUCAGGAUGCAUCAGGAUGUCUUCAGUUCCG